UUUUCUGAGCCAGCCCCAUCUCCCAUGCGGUCACUGUCAUGUAAGUUGUCACAUGUCACUCCAUUCAGUGUGGCAGCUCUCCAUGGGAAUGUGUGGGAAGUGGCCAAGGGUUUGAGAGACAAUUAUGUCCUUGUUUAUCCUGAGGGCCUCACCUGAGCCCCCAUGGACCCUAAGGCCCAGUGAUGGGUGCCAAGCUGUUCCCACUAGAGUUGUCCUCAUAUUUCCUGCUGUAGUCCAGACUAGAACAGGCAUUGGAGGCAAUGCAUGUACAUGAAGGGUUGUUGAAUUUUGUCAAAGGCCUUUUCUGCAUCUAUUGAGAUAAUCAUGUGGUUUUUGUCUUUGGUUCCGUUUAUAUGCUGGAUUACGUCUAUUGAAUGCUAAAUGACGAGUUAAUGGGUGCAGCACAUCAACAUGGCACAUGUAUACAUAUGUAACAAAUAGUUUCUUUUGCUGUGCAGAAGCUCGUUAGCUUAAUUAGGUGGCAUGAUCUCAGCUUACUGCAAUCUUUGCCUCAGUUGCCAUGGGGACUGGCAGAUGGAGAGACUGCUACCCA
rnacentral:lncRNA from 1 species